GAUGAACGCUAGCUACAGGCUUAACACAUGCAAGUCGAGGGGAAACGAUAUUGGAAGCUUGCUUCCGAUAGGCGUCGACCGGCGCACGGGUGAGUAACGCGUAUCCAACCUGCCCACCACUUGGGGAUAACCUUGCGAAAGUAAGACUAAUACCCAAUGAUAUCUCAAGAAGACAUCUGAAUGAGAUUAAAGAUUUAUCGGUGAUGGAUGGGGAUGCGUCUGAUUAGCUUGUUGGCGGGGUAACGGCCCACCAAGGCGACGAUCAGUAGGGGUUCUGGGAGGAAGGUCCCCCACAUUGGAACUGAGACACGGUCCAAACUCCUACGGGAGGCAGCAGUGAGGAAUAUUGGUCAAUGGGCGAGAGCCUGAACCAGCCAAGUGGCGUGCAGGAUGAUGGCCCUAUGGGUUGUAAACUGCUUUUAUAAGGGAAUAAAGUGAGCCUCGUGAGGCUUUUUGCAUGUACCUUAUGAAUAAGGACCGGCUAAUUCCGUGCCAGCCGCCGCAGUAA
rnacentral:rRNA from 1 species